rnacentral:misc_RNA from 1 species
UGUGUUACAGCACAUCGAAGC